GUGCUCACUUUGCCAGCACAUAUAUUAGAACUGGAACGAUCCAGAGAAGAUUAGCAUGGCCCCUGCACAAGGAUGACACACAAAAUACACAAGGAUAAAGUGCUUUC
rfam:Ailuropoda melanoleuca scaffold442_23, whole genome shotgun sequence.